rnacentral:rRNA from 1 species
CCUACGGGGGGCAGCAGUGGGGAAUAUUGGGCAAUGGGCGCAAGCCUGACCCAGCAACGUCGCGUGAAGGAAGAAGGCUUUCGGGUUGUUAACUUCUUUUCUGAGGGACGAAGAAAGUGACGGUACCUCAGGAAUAAGUCACGGCUAACUACGUGCCAGCAGCCGCGGUAAUACGUAGGUGGCAAGCGUUAUCCGGAUUGAUUGGGUGUAAAGGGCGUGUAGGCGGGAAAGCAAGUCAGAUGUGAAAACUCAGGGCUCAACCCUGAGCCUGCAUGUGAAACUGUAUUUCUUGAGUACUGGAGAGGCAAUCGGAAUUCGGGGUGUAGCGGUGAAAUGCGUAGAUAUACGGAGGAACCCCGAUUGCGAAGGCGGAUUGCUAAACAGUAACUGACGCUGAGGCGCGAAAGCGUGGGGAGCAAACAGGAUUAGAUACCCUAGUAGUC